UGGGGCGUAGCCAAGCGGUAAGGCAGCGGGCUUUGGACCCGCGAUGCGCAGGUUCGAAUCCUGCCGCCCCAG
rnacentral:tRNA from 1 species